rnacentral:rRNA from 1 species
AGUCGAACGAGAUCUUCGGAUCUAGUGGCGCACGGGUGAGUAACGCGUGGGAACCUACCUUUUAGUACGGGACAACGUCUGGAAACGGACGCUAAUACCGUAUACGCCCUCCGGGGGAAAGGCUUGCCGCUAAAAGAGGGGCCCGCGUCUGAUUAGCUUGUUGGUAAGGUAAUGGCUUACCAAGGCUACGAUCAGUAGCUGGUCUGAGAGGAUGAUCAGCCACACUGGGACUGAGACACGGCCCAGACUCC